rfam:Phalacrocorax carbo contig162380, whole genome shotgun sequence.
GAUCUGGGAUGGGUGUUGGCAUGUAUUAUCUGAGCAUAAAUCUAAGAUGGUCAGUUUAGCUCUAGAAUGACUCUGAGACCUG